GAACUGAUGUCUCCAACCAGCAGCCAGCAAGGAACUGAAUUCUGCCAAUAGCCAAACUUCGAACAUUUUUGUGCCAAAAAAGAACAAUGAAGAAAUAUGGUUUACUUUUGAGUUGUUGGCUUGGCUAACUCGCAUGGAG
rnacentral:lncRNA from 1 species